CUUUAUGGCGGGCCGGACGAGACAGCCGCAAGGCUGACCGGCAUUGGCUGUGACACCGGGCUUCCACCCUCGUCGUCAGGCCCGCCGCCCUC
rnacentral:antisense_RNA from 1 species